rnacentral:rRNA from 1 species
CAUCGAAAAAGAACACAACCUCCUCCAGCGGAUAAUAAUCACCCCUCCCCGCACUGUGGGCCUUCAAGCAGCCACCAACAAAAGAGUGCGUCAAAGCUCCCUCAUUAAAAAAUCUAAAACCCUAUUUGACUCCCUCAACCAAAGCAGGUUAACCUAUGACAAUAGAAGAAUCAAUGCUAAAAUGAGUAAUCUGGAACCUAUCCUCCUACGGCGUAAACUUACAUUAAUACAUUAUUAACAGAACUCAACUUAUACCCCCACACUAACAAGCAAUACGUAUUCCUCAAUCUGUUAAGCCAACCCAGGAGCGCCCACAGGAUGAUUAAAACCUACAGAAGGAACUCGGCAAACCAAAGACCCGACUGUUUCCCAAAAACAUAGCCUUCAGCUAACAACAAGUAUUGAAGGUGAUGCCUGCCCAGUGACCCCCAAAGUUCAACGGCCGCGGUAUCCUAACCGUGCGAAGGUAGCGCAAUCAAUUGUCCCGUAAAUUGAGACUUGUAUGAAUGGCUAAACGAGGUCUUAACUGUCUCCUGUAGGUAAUCUAUGAAAUUAGUAUU